GAAUUGUAAAGAAACAGUGACCACGCCGAUGGAGCAGGAACUCGUCCGGAUAUCACACACGCCGUGACAAGAUUAGCAGCGUUUUGUGAUAAUCCUGGACAGAUACAGUGGAAUGCGGUGAAAAGAUUACUUCGUUAUCUUAAGAGGACAGCCGAUUAUGGACUGAUUUAUCGAAAAACAG